rnacentral:rRNA from 1 species
GGUCAAGUUGUCAAGGGCGAACGGUGGAUGCCUUGGCACCAGGAGCCGAUGAAGGACGUGGGAGGCCGCGAUAGGCCUGGGGGAGCUGUCAACCAAGCUGUGAUCCCAGGGUGUCCGAAUGGGGAAACCCGGCAUCAGUCAUGUGAUGUCACCCGCACCUGAACACAUAGGGUGUGUGGGGGGAACGCGGGGAAGUGAAACAUCUCAGUACCCGUAGGAAGAGAAAACAAUUUAGUGAUUCCGUGAGUAGUGGCGAGCGAAAGCGGAUUGAGGCUAAACCGGCUGCGUGUGAUACCUGUCAGGGGUUGCGUGGUCGGGGUUGUGGGACCCUGCUGAGCAAGCUGACACUUGUUCGAGAAGUUACAAAGCCAGUGGUUAGUCGAACAGUCUGGAAUGGCUGACCGUAGACGGUGAUAGUCCGGUAGGUGAAAGUUGCUGGUCUUCUGUGGGUGUUCCCGAGUAGCGGCGGACUCCUGAAAUCUGCCGUGAAUCUGCCAGGACCACCUGGUAAGCCUAAAUACUUCCUGGUGACCGAUAGCGGACGAGUACCGUGAGGGAAUGGUGAAAAGUACCCCGGGAGGGGAGUGAAAUAGUACCUGAAACCGUUCGCCUACAAUCCGUCGGAGCCUUGCGGGGUGACGGCGUGCCUUUUGAAGAAUGAGCCUGCGAGUUAGUGGCAUGUGGCGAGGUUAACCCGUGUGGGGGAGCCGUAGCGAAAGCGAGUCUGAAUAGGGCGUUUUUAGUCGCAUGCUCUAGACCCGAAGCGGAGUGAUCUAGCCAUGGGCAGGCUGAAGCGCGGGUAAGACCGCGUGGAGGGCCGAACCCACCAACGUUGAAAAGUUGGGGGAUGACCUGUGGUUAGGGGUGAAAGGCCAAUCAAACUCCGUGAUAGCUGGUUCUCCCCGAAAUGCAUUUAGGUGCAGCGUCGCGUGUUUCUUGCCGGAGGUAGAGCACUGGAUGGUCUAGGGGGCCCACAAGCUUACCGAAAUCAGCCAAACUCCGAAUGCCGGUAAGUGAGAGCGCGGCAGUGAGACUGCGGGGGAUAAGCUUCGUAGUCGAGAGGGAAACAGCCCAGAUCACCAGCUAAGGCCCCUAAGCGUGUGCUAAGUGGAAAAGGAUGUGGGGUCGCAUAGACAACCAGGAGGUUGGCUUAGAAGCAGCCACCCUUUAAAGAGUGCGUAAUAGCUCACUGGUCAAGUGGUUCCGCGCCGACAAUGUAGCGGGGCUCAAGCACACCGCCGAAGCUGUGGCAUUCACAUUUUAACUUCGCCUGGCCUUGAUGCCAGGUGCAGGUGUGUGGAUGGGUAGGGGAGCGUCGUGCCGGGGGUGAAGCAGCGGGGUGACCCAGUUGUGGACGCGGCACGAGUGAGAAUGCAGGCAUGAGUAGCGAAAGAAGGGUGAGAAACCCUUCCGCCGGAUGACCAAGGGUUCCAGGGCCAGGCUAAUCCGCCCUGGGUGAGUCGGGACCUAAGGCGAGGCCGAGAGGCGUAGUCGAUGGACAACGGGUUGAUAUUCCCGUACCCGCGAAAGAGCGACCCUGACGAACCUCGUUGUGCUAACCACCCAAACCGGCCAAGACCUUCGGGUUGAGGUUGGGGAGCGUGGGAACCUGGCGGGUAGUAGUCAAGCGAUGGGGUGACGCAGGAAGGUAGCUGAGCCCGGCCGGUGGUUGUGCCGGGGUAAGCGUGUAGGCCGUGUCGUAGGCAAAUCCGCGACACAUGGGGCUGAGACGUGAUGCCGAGCCGAUUCAGGUGAAGUCAGUGAUCCUAUGCUGCCGAGAAAAGCCUCUAGCGAGUUCUUAGCGGCCCGUACCCCAAACCGACACAGGUGGUCAGGUAGAGAAUACCGAGGCGAUCGGGCGAACUGUGGUUAAGGAACUCGGCAAAUUGCCCCCGUAACUUAGGGAGAAGGGGGGCCGGAGACGUGAAGCCCCGCGCGGGUGGAGCGUUGUAUGGCCGCAGAGAGCAGGGGGAAGCGACUGUUUACUAAAAACACAGGUCCAUGCGAAGAAGUAAUUCGAUGUAUAUGGACUGACGCCUGCCCGGUGCUGGAACGUUAAGGGGACCUGUUAGCUCUUCGGGGCGAAGCGGAGAACUUAAGCGCCAGUAAACGGCGGUGGUAACUAUAACCAUCCUAAGGUAGCGAAAUUCCUUGUCGGGUAAGUUCCGACCUGCACGAAUGGCGUAACGACUUCCCCACUGUCUCAACCACAGGCCCGGCGAAAUUGCAGUACGAGUAAAGAUGCUCGUUACGCGCGGCAGGACGGAAAGACCCCGGGACCUUUACUAUAGCUUGACAUUGGUAUCUGAAUUAGCUUGUGUAGGAUAGGUGGGAGCCGGUGAAGCCUAUACGCCAGUAUGGGUGGAGGCAAUCUUGAAA